rnacentral:ncRNA from 1 species
ACAAGGUUUCCGCUCAUAAGUCCGCCGGAACGAAUGAUUCUUCCGCGGUGUACACUUAUCGAAGCCUUUGCAGCCGCGCAAGCGGUAGGCCCGGACGACUCUAAAGAAGCCGGGCCGCCAUGCAAGUCAGCCUGGCUGGCGACACUUUCGAACUGACGGGGACACCCUGAAGCCGAUCGCACCAACCCGCGGGGGAAAUCCCGCGGGGGCCCGUGUUAACCACACGGGGGACGGUAAUAGACGAUCCGGAUACCCCUGCGCGAGCGGGGUGAUGGGCAAUCCGCAGCGAAGCCUCUAAGUUCUGACGAAUAUGAGGAACGUUCACAGACUAAGUGGAAGUGGGUGGGACGCGGUCCUGCUUAAGAUAUAGUCGGGCCCCGCGGGAGACCACGGGGGUGAGUACACCGCCUCACAAAGUAACCGUUCCGUAGGUGAACCUGCGGAAGGAUCAUUA